rnacentral:rRNA from 1 species
GACGAACGCUGGCGGCGUGCUUAACACAUGCAAGUCGAACGGGUCUGCCCUGUUUUUUGCGGGGUGGGUCAGUGGCGAACGGGUGAGUAACACGUGAGUAACCUGCCCCUCACUUCUGGAUAACCGCUUGAAAGGGUGGCUAAUACGGGGUGUUCUGGCUGUGCCGCAUGGUGUGGCUGGGAAAGAUUCACUUUUGUGGUGUUUUGGUGGGGGAUGGGCUCGCGGCCUAUCAGCUUGUUGGUGGGGUGAUGGCCUGCCAAGGCUUUGACGGGUAGCCGGCCUGGGAGGGUGGGCGGUCACACUGGGACUGAGAUACGGCCCAGACUCCUGCGGGAGGCAGCAGUGGGGGGUAUUGCACAAUGGGCGGAAGCCUGAUGCAGCGACGUCGCGUGAGGGAUGGAGGCCUUCGGGUUGUGAACCUCUUUCGCCGGUGAAGAGGGUCCUGCUCUUUGUGGUGGGGUUGACGGUAGCCGGGUUAUGAAGCGCCGGCUAACUACGUG